CCUACGUGAGGCAGCAGUGGGGAAUAUUGGGCAAUGGGCGCAAGCCUGACGCAGCAACGCCGCGUGAAGGAAGAAGGCUUUCGGGUUGUAAACUUCUUUUGACAGGGAAGAGUAGAAGACGGUACCUGUCGAAUAAGCCACGGCUAACUACGGGCCAGCAGCCGCGGUAAUACGGAGGGUGCGAGCGGUAAUCGGAAUUACUGGGCGGAAAGAGCUCGUAGGCGGUAUGGUAAGUCAAGGGUGAAAUCCCCGUGCUCAACGUGGGAACUGCCUUUGAAUCUGGCAAACUGGAGUGUGUGAGAGGAUAGUGGAAUUCCAGGUGUAGGAGUGAAAUGCGUAGAUAUCUGGAGGAACAUCAGUGGCGAAGGCGACUAUCUGGCACAUAACUGACGCUGAGGAGCGAAAGCGUGGGUAGCAAACAGGAUUAGAUACCCGAGUAGUC
rnacentral:rRNA from 1 species